rnacentral:lncRNA from 1 species
ACCAAAUCCACUCACAAGGCAUUGGUCAGCCCGGGGCUAUAGCAGAAGACACUUGCCCAAGAUGCCAUGCAGCGGGACUGAACCCGGAACCAUGUGGUUGGUUAGCAAGCUACUUACCACACAGCCACUCCUACGCCUAUAUAUAACAUAUAUAAACAAUGAUCCAAUAAACAGUUAAAACCUUUACCCUGCUGACUUGGUCCUUGGUAAAGGAUAUCAGAGUGUAAGUUCUAAUCAUUUGGGUACCACCAAAUGUAUUGUAUAUCGUAAUUCUAUCAAUCUCAUCUGUUGAUUUUGUGUGUGUGUGUGUGUGUGUAUGUCACAGGUGUGGUUGUGUGGUAAGAAGUUUUCUUUUCAGCCACAUGGUUCUGGGUUCAGUCCUACUUUGUCAAAUGUCUUUUAUCGUAGUCCUGGGCUGACCAAAAUCCUUGUGAGUGGAUUUGGUAGAGGGAAACUGAAAGAAGCCCUACCAUUGCUUGACAACAGGUGUUGGUUUGUUUAUGUCCUCAUAACUUAGGUGUUAGGCAAAAGAGACUGGUAGUAUAAGUACUGGGGUUGAUUUGUUUGACUAAAACAUCUCAAGAUGCUGCCCCACCAUGGCUGCAGUCCAAUGAUUGAAACAAGUAAAAGAUACAAGAUAUAUCAUCAUCAUCAUCACCAUCAUCCUCAUCAAUGUCACAAGGUACACGACAUCUGAAAGGGGGAGGGAGAGGUGUAAUUGCUACGGUUGGGACUACUGAUCAUAGGUCUGCUUUAUUAUGGUUGACCCCGGGACUAAACAACCACAAGUUAUUGUGACCUGUACAACUACAGACAAUGGGGAAAAUUUUGUUAAAAAUCCAGUUUUAAUUAUUUCGGUAAAAGGCAAAGAAAAAAAAAUAACAAAAAAAAAAAGAAAAAAGAAAACGAAAAUAAAAAAUAAAAAGAAAUUUAAUUAAUGCUUGAAUCUUUACACUAUUAUACUACGUUGACUUUUAUGUCAGAAAAUAUGAUAAAACAUUGCAUGUGAAUGUGUGUAUUUGUGUGUGUGCAUCAUAUAUGCAUAUAUAGGAAUGACACUGCAUAAACCAGAAGAAUGGAAAUGAGUUUAAAUAUUAAAGCCUUCCUGUGGGUUAAAUAAGAAAUGUAAACAAUCUUAUUUAAGCCACAGUGAAGCUUCAUAAAAUAUAUGUAGACAUCCGCUUUAUGCCUAUGAUGUCUCAGCAUUACCAUUAUCCAAGAAAUCAAUAAAAUAAAAGGAAUGGAGAUAUCUAUAUACACACAGACACACACAAACAUAUAUGCAUAGAUGUUUAACUCGGACUUAUAUACACAUGCAACCAUGUAUACCACCAUAUUAACAAUAUAUAUUUACAUACAUUGUAUGCAUUAUUAUAAUACACAUAUAUACACCCACCCACAAUGUAAAGGGUUUCUACAGUCAAAUGCGUGUUAUCUGAUGGAACAUCUUGGGUGUUACUGAGUGGCCCCCUCAUCUCCCCCCACACCUUGUGGUGGUGGUGGUCGAGGGUCGUUCAGUUAAUGUCAAGAUGAAUGCUAUAACACCUGUUGAACUGAUUCAUAUCAAUUAAGAACAGUUGAGUGGAAUGUUAGUUUGUAGUUGCGCUGAGCCCCUAUUGGCUGUUCCCCCCCACCCCGCCUUGAAAUUUCUAGCCUUGUACCUCAAAGAAAUUAUUAUUAUCAUCAUCAAGGUGGUGUGCUGGCAGAGUUGGUAGCAUACUAGGCAAACUGCUUACUGACAUUUCAUCUGUCUUCAUGUUCUGAGUUCAAAUUCUCAUUUCUUUACUACCAACAAGGGGCUAAACACAGAGGGGACAAACAAGGAUAAACAAAGGGAUUAAGUCAAUUACAUCGAGCCCAGUGCGUAACUGGUACUUAAUUUAUCGACCCCAAAUGGAUGAAAGGCAAAGUCGACCUCGGCGGAAUUUGAACUCAGAACGUAACGGCAGAUGAAAUACCGCUAAGCAUUUCGCUUGGCGUGGUAACAUAUCUGCCAGCUUGUCACCAAUGCUCAAGUGAUUGACCCCAAAAACAAUGAAAGGUAAAGUUACCUUCAUAUAAUAAUAAUAAAAAUAAUGUAAUGGCGGUGCCCCAGCAUGGUCGCAGCCUCAAGGCUGAAACAUAAAAGAAUAAAGAAUAACAAUCCUUUCUACUGUGGGUACAAGGCCUGAAGUUUCGGGGAAGGGGACUAGUCAAUUACAUCAACCCCAGUGUAUCACUGGUACUUAUUUUAUUGGAUGAGAGGCAAAGUUGACCUCAGCAGAAUUUGAACUCAGAACGUGAAGACAGACAAAAUGCCGCUAUUGCCUGGCAUGCUAAUGAUUUUGCCAGCUUGUCGACUAAAUAAGAGAAUUAAAUUGCAUGGUGCCACAAGAAUGAGAAGACGUCGCUGGAAAACAUAUGAUGGAAGUCAGGAUAAGUAAUGGCAACUGAAAAAUUUGCUGGAGUAAGGAAUAUUAAAAAUAUAUUUGGCUAAAACACGUCUUACAUCAAAAUAUUGCCAAAGGUUUCAAUAAAAUAAGGUACCUCUUCUGAAUGCCAAAGUGGCUGACAGACAGGUGAAGAAUCCUCUUACCAAAAGCCACAAAAAUGUCUAAAUCCCCACUGCCCCCAAAUAAAAGCACCAACCAAUGACAUGGCUUCUUUUAAAAAUUCUGCAAGACACUGAAAUUGCCUGAGAAAAUACAUCAACAUGUUGAUAGAAAUAAUCUGCCUGAAGAAUGGAAGGGUUACAGAAGCAGGGGUGGGGGCAUUGUACUGCUUUGAAGACCAGCUCCAGAGAAAAAAAAACCCAAAAGACAAAGUAAUGUAUUCAUGGUUCUUUGAGUGGGGGGCGAGGGAUGGAGGUAUGAUUGUUAAUUAUCAGCAACGAUUCAUGGACAGUUCCACAUAAAAUUGCAAAACCAAUAUUAUAACAAAUCGCAUCGAAAGUCUCCUGCAAUCUCAUGUAACUCCUAAAAGAACAUAAAUACUCCGAGAAGACUUUUCUUCUGUCCGGCUCUCAUUCCGUUAAUUAUGGCCCUAAAGUUGUACAGGGCCAUAAUUGACUGGCAGGGGCCAACAUCAACCAUUAUCUCAAUAGCAAUGGCAUCAAGUUACAUGCAUGCUGAAAUGUGGGACAAUGUUUGAAAAACCAUUUCUGAACUGUAAGACUUUGUAGCUGUGCCACCAGUAUGCUGUUUUUAGCAUUUUUUUUUUGUGUGUGGCGGGGAGCAUGUUUAAAUGUGCCACGAUCACAUUCAAGAGGGGCAGGUUGAUGAAAGGGGCAGAUUGACCAGAUCAGUAAACACUAACAAGAUCAGACGAAAUACAUAUACGUGUGUAUAUACAUAUGCUUGUAUAAAUAUGUGUAAGCAUGCUUGUACAUGUUUGUGUAUUUCUGGAGAUCAAUGAAAGUGGAAAACAAUUGAUCAGACUAUCUGGGAAUAAACCACAAAGAAUAUAUAUACAUUGGAAUGGAUCAUCAUCACUUUAUGUCUGCUUUUCCAUCCUGGCAUGGGUUGGAUAGGAUGUCACAGUUUGAGUCAGUUUUUUUUUUUUUCUUUUCCAUUUCAAAGUCACUGCUGUCCUCAACAAAUCACCAUUCUUCCAUUCUAUUUUUCGCAUGGUUUCUAUCUAGGCUGUCCAUUUCUUUUAGUGGUCAGUCCUCUAAAUUUUGUAUGUAAAAAAAUUUUUAAUCUUCGGAUUAUUUUAAAAUAUGCUCGAUCACUGGUUUUAAUUGAUUAAUAUCAAUUUCUACCCUUAUUUAAUUUUAUAUAUAUAUAUAUAUAUUUCUUUAUUGCCCACAAGGGGCUAAACACAGAGAGGACAAACAAGGACAGAGAAAGGGAUUAAGUCGAUUACAUCGAUCCCAGUGCGUAACUGGUACUUAAUUUAUCGACCCCGAAAGGAUGAAAGGCAAAGUCGACCUAUAUAUAUAGUGUGAAGCCUCUGUACAAAAAGAUGUGGCAAUCAGCCCCUUACCUGCAGCACUUUAUACUCAAAUGUCAACGACUGCCAGUCAUAGGAAUGUGACUAUGACAGAGGUAAAUGAAUUCUUAAACAAAACUAACAGUGCAGCCCUGUGCAUACCUGAGAUGGUGGUGCAACAAGACCUGCAUUUCAUUAAUUAUAACAGAAUCGUUAUUGUUCAUAACGAGAACUUUCAAUAUAUAAAUGCAUAUGCACACACAUUUCAUGUGCACAUAUGCACACAUAUGCAUGCAUAUAUAUAUACAUGCACAUAUAUGUAUAGAUGCAUGUCCAUAUGCACAUAUACACACACUCAUACAUGAAGUAUAUAUUCAUACACACAGGGAAAGAUGAAAUACAUCUGUGUACAAGUUUACUCAUAAUACAUACACACACAUGCAUAUAUAUAUAUAUAUAUAUGUACAUA